GACGAACGCUGGCGGCGUGCCUAAUACAUGCAAGUAGAACGCUGAAGAGAGGAGCUUGCUCUUCUUGGAUGAGUUGCGAACGGGUGAGUAACGCGUAGGUAACCUGCCUUGUAGCGGGGGAUAACUAUUGGAAACGAUAGCUAAUACCGCAUAACAAUGGAUGACACAUGUCAUUUAUUUGAAAGGGGCAAUUGCUCCACUACAAGAUGGACCUGCGUUGUAUUAGCUAGUAGGUGAGGUAACGGCUCACCUAGGCGACGAUACAUAGCCGACCUGAGAGGGUGAUCGGCCACACUGGGACUGAGACACGGCCCAGACUCCUACGGGAGGCAGCAGUAGGGAAUCUUCGGCAAUGGGGGCAACCCUGACCGAGCAACGCCGCGUGAGUGAAGAAGGUUUUCGGAUCGUAAAGCUCUGUUGUAAGUCAAGAACGAGUGUGAGAGUGGAAAGUUCACACUGUGACGGUAGCUUACCAGAAAGGGACGGCUAACUACGUGCCAGCAGCCGCGGUAAUACGUAGGUCCCGAGCGUUGUCCGGAUUUAUUGGGCGUAAAGCGAGCGCAGGCGGUUUGAUAAGUCUGAAGUUAAAGGCUGUGGCUCAACCAUAGUUCGCUUUGGAAACUGUCAAACUUGAGUGCAGAAGGGGAGAGUGGAAUUCCAUGUGUAGCGGUGAAAUGCGUAGAUAUAUGGAGGAACACCGGUGGCGAAAGCGGCUCUCUGGUCUGUAACUGACGCUGAGGCUCGAAAGCGUGGGGAGCGAACAGGAUUAGAUACCCUGGUAGUCCACGCCGUAAACGGUGAGUGCUAGGUGUUGGAUCCUUUCCGGGAUUCAGUGCCGCAGCUAACGCAUUAAGCACUCCGCCUGGGGAGUACGACCGCAAGGUUGAAACUCAAAGGAAUUGACGGGGGCCCGCACAAGCGGUGGAGCAUGUGGUUUAAUUCGAAGCAACGCGAAGAACCUUACCAGGUCUUGACAUCCCGAUGCUAUUUCUAGAGAUAGAAAGUUACUUCGGUACAUCGGUGACAGGUGGUGCAUGGUUGUCGUCAGCUCGUGUCGUGAGAUGUUGGGUUAAGUCCCGCAACGAGCGCAACCCCUAUUGUUAGUUGCCAUCAUUCAGUUGGGCACUCUAGCGAGACUGCCGGUAAUAAACCGGAGGAAGGUGGGGAUGACGUCAAAUCAUCAUGCCCCUUAUGACCUGGGCUACACACGUGCUACAAUGGUUGGUACAACGAGUUGCGAGUCGGUGACGGCAAGCUAAUCUCUUAAAGCCAAUCUCAGUUCGGAUUGUAGGCUGCAACUCGCCUACAUGAAGUCGGAAUCGCUAGUAAUCGCGGAUCAGCACGCCGCGGUGAAUACGUUCCCGGACCU
rnacentral:rRNA from 1 species